rnacentral:rRNA from 1 species
CCUACGGGGGGCAGCAGUGGGGAAUAUUGCACAAUGGGCGCAAGCCUGAUGCAGCCAUGCCGCGUGUGUGAAGAAGGCCUUCGGGUUGUAAAGCACUUUCAGCGGGGAGGAAGGCGUUAAGGUUAAUAACCUUGUCGAUUGACGUUACCCGCAGAAGAAGCACCGGCUAACUCCGUGCCAGCAGCCGCGGUAAUACGGAGGGUGCAAGCGUUAAUCGGAAUUACUGGGCGUAAAGCGCACGCAGGCGGUCUGGCAAGUCGGAUGUGAAAUCCCCGGGCUCAACCUGGGAACUGCAUUCGAAACUGGCAGGCUAGAGUCUUGUAGAGGGGGGUAGAAUUCCAGGUGUAGCGGUGAAAUGCGUAGAGAUCUGGAGGAAUACCGGUGGCGAAGGCGGCCCCCUGGACAAAGACUGACGCUCAGGUGCGAAAGCGUGGGGAGCAAACAGGAUUAGAUACCCUUGUAGUC